UACGGAGGAUCCGAGCGUUAUCCGGAUUUAUUGGGUUUAAAGGGUGCGCAGGCGGGAGAUUAAGUCGGCGGUGAAAUUUUGCAGCUCAACUGUAAAAGUGCCUUCGAAACUGGUUUCCUUGAGUGUAGAUGAAGUAGGCGGAAUUUGUGGUGUAGCGGUGAAAUGCAUAGAUAUCACGAGGAACUCCGAUUGCGCAGGCAGCUUACUAAACUACUACUGACGCUCAGGCACGAAGGCGUGGGGAUCAAACAGGAUUAGAUACCCUCGUAGU
rnacentral:rRNA from 1 species